rnacentral:rRNA from 1 species
GUAGUCUCGCACAGAUGCAUAUCAAUAAGCGGAGGAAAAGGAAACUAACAAGGAUUCCCCUAGUAACGGCGAGUGAAGCGGGAAGAGCUCAAAUUUGAAAUCUUAAAGGGUUUCCCUUUACGAAUUGUAGUUUAAAGAAGUGUUUUCUGUUGAGGUUUUGGUAAAAGUUCUUUGGAAUAGGACAUCAUAGAGGGUGAGAAUCCCGUAUUUGACCUUUACUUUCAACUUUGUGAUACACUUUCAAAGAGUCGGAUUGUUUGGGAAUGCAGUCCAAAAUGGGUGGUAAAUUUCAUCUAAAGCUAAAUAUUGGCGAGAGACCGAUAGCGAACAAGUACCGUGAGGGAAAGAUGAAAAGAACUUUGAAAAGAGAGUUAAACAGUACGUGAAAUUGUCAAAAGGGAAGCGUUUGACACCCGUGUUGUUUUUCUGAAAAUCAAUUAAAGAACUGUUUAUGCUAAGCUGUUUAGACUUUAUCAGCUAACUGUUUAGUUUUGAGCUUUUCUUUAAUGCACUUUUCAGUUAACAAGUCAACAUCAAUUUCUUUUGCUGUAAAAAAGCUUGAGGAAGGUGGCUUGAGAUUCGUCUUAAGUGUUUAUAGCCUCUUGCCUAUGCAGUCGGAGAGAUUGAGGUCUGCAGCGUAGAUCCUUCGGGGCUAAAUGCAUUUGUGCUAAGUUAUAGCAUUUUAUAGACAACUUGUUGACUAUGAUUUGUCUUGUAGCUUACUCGCUUAUGUUAUUUUACCUACGCUUAGGAUGUUGAGUAGCGACAUACGCAC